CGGGUGAGUAACACGUGGAUAACCUACCUAUAAGACUGGGAUAACUUCGGGAAACUGGAGCUAAUACCGGAUAAUAUAUUGGACCGCAUGGUUCAAUAGUGAAAGACGGUUUUGCUGUCACUUAUAGAUGGAUCCGCGUCGCAUUAGCUAGUUGGUAAGGUAACGGCUUACCAAGGCAACAAUGCGUAGCCGACCUGAGAGGGUGAUCGGCCACACUGGAACUGAGACACGGUCCAG
rnacentral:rRNA from 1 species